rnacentral:rRNA from 1 species
CAACGAGGAUAUUAGUGUUSCCGUAAGUUGACGAUUAAGCGAAAGUGAUAAUAUCCCCCCUGGGGAGUACGAACGCAAGUUUGAAACUCAAAGGAAUUGASGGGGGCCCGCACAASCGGUGGAGCAUGUGGUUUAAUUCGAUGAUACGCGAGGAACCUUACCAGGGCUUAAAUGUAGUUUGACCGCUUUCGAAACAGAGCUUUCGCAAGACAGAUUACAAGGUGCUGCAUGGUUGUUGUCAGCUCGUGCCGUGAGGUGUCAGGUUAAGUCCUAUAACGAGCGCAACCCCUGCUGUUAGUUGCCAGCGAGUAAUGUCGGGAACUCUAGCAAGACUGCCAGUGUAAAMUGAGAGGAAGGUGGGGAUGACGUCAAAUCAUCACGGCCCUUACGUCCUGGGCCACACACGUGCUACAAUGGCCGGUACAGAGAGCAGCCACCUAGCGAUAGGGCGCGAAGCUAUAAAGCCGGUCACAGUUCGGAUCGGAGUCUGCAACUGGACUCCGUGAAGCU